CAAAGUAUAUGCACGUUCUUAAGACUUUGGAUACUUUCUUGGAAAAUUCCCCUCUAAAUAUGCCGUACCUAUUUCUGACUGCCCCAGGGGGCGUGGUGGUGGUGGUGGUGGUUGUUUUAACAUAAAAUGACUUAUUACUGGGGACUGCUCUGUGUGUGUGUGCCUGUGUGACUUAAACCUACAGGAUCCUUCCCCUGCCAUUUAUAAGCCGACUUUACUCUGAUUAAUAUCUACAGUUGGUAGAGAGACUCCUGUAGACUCGAAUUCUUUAUUGGAAGCGUUAACUCCAUUUCUCAAAAGGGCUUGCCAGCCUAUGAGCGGAGUGACUGUCUCUCGGCCACUCAGAACUAUCGCAUGUGACCCCUAUGCCACUUAAGUGACAGGCACGCCUCUAGGUGCCUUCAGACUGGGAGGGACCUGUGCUGUGCAGAGCCAGGGUAGAGAGAAGACAACAGGAAAGGCCUCCUGCUGCAACAGAUGAGGAGGCCUGGAAAAGGCUCUUCACCACGCUGAGCUGCAGCUUCGACUUCCUGCCAGCAACAGAACUUGCAGCAAGCCAGUGGCUCCGGGUGUCCCUCCUCCUCUGCCUGCUCCGGGUGUAUGCAGGUGAGUGUCUGAGGCCGCCCUGUGCACACCGGGCCACGUCCAUUAACAAGGCGCUGGUUGUAUUGGCUAUUGGCGGCAGCCCUCAGCACAUGUGUCCCCGCUGAAGUAAGGUGCUAAGUAGAAUGACCUCUUAACUGGAACAGUGGUAGCAGUAUUACUAGGGCUUUCUCUUCAUGCCUGUCACUGGAUUAUGGUAAUUUUUUUUUCUUUUUUUUUUUAUGGGUCACGGGUUUUAAUCAGAGUUGAAGUCUGAGUUACUGACAGCUCAGGAGAGCUGUAAAUGCUGGAAGAUUGACUUCACACUGUCACAGAAUCAUAACACAAACAGAAAGCCAGAGGCUCUCGCAAGCCUCCGCCCACCAAUUCAGCAAAGCCACUGUCUAAACAGCAGGCUCCUUUUGCAGGCUUUACAGAAUGGGAGGGAGGCAGAGGAUACCUCCUCCCUCCCUCUUCCUUCCCCCAAGGUUCAAAGCAUGAAACACUGAUCCUGGCAAAGGCGGGACGAGAAGCAGAUAUUGUCAUUUAGCUAAUGGCAUCUACAGGAAGCCAGAAAUCAUUCCCUUGACAGUGGUGGCACUCGGACAGCAGCAGGCCCUGUUGAGUCAAGAGCUCCUCUCAGUGUCUUGGUCACAUGUGUGAAUAACCAUCGUAGACCUGGGGAGCAUGGGGCAUGUGAGGUACCCUCUGUGGAGGUUCCGGCCUUGGCUUCUCCCUGUUAUGUGUACCAGAAGGACCUGCUCACCCACUGGGACCCUCCUCACUGCCAAGCAUCCGGGAUUAGGCCAAGAGUUAGGGAACACUGAGCCUCUUUUCUAACACCAUGGGGAAACCAUAGGAGACCACAGUUCCCAACUUAGACAAACCCUGCAUACUUCCCAUUUCGCCUUCAGGGUCUAUCUUCUUCCCCUGUGUGCAGCCUGGUCCCCUUUCUAGAACGAGUGUCCUUAGGAACCCCACAACCAGCAGGGAUCAUUUUGGUGUCCAACUCAGGUGACUCCUCUGCAUCCGUCUGCACCCUCAUUUGUCUGAGGUCCUGUUCUCAAGCAGCUGUCACAGAGAGGACCUGUCUGUAUCAGGAUAUGCGAGGGUGUAUGGAAAAGGGGU
rnacentral:lncRNA from 1 species